CCGCGUAAGACCACACUUAGGCAUUUAAGAGAGUUCAAAGGAGUAAUCCGGUAAAAGAUGAGCCUGUGGCUGAUUAGUUAGUUGGUGGGGUAAGAGCCUACCAAGACGAUGAUCAGUAGCCGAGCUGAGAGGCUGGCCGGCCACAUUGGGACUGAGAUACGGCCCAGACUCCUACGGGAGGCAGCAGUUGGGAAUAUUGGACAAUGGAGGAAACUCUGAUCCAGUGACGCGGCGUGAAGGAAGAAGGUCUUCGGAUUGUAAACUUAUUUUAUCAGGGAAGAAGAAAGUGACAGUACCUGAAGAAAAAGGACCGGCAAACUACGUGCCAGCAGCCGCGGUAAUACGUAGGGUCCAAGCGUUAUCCGGAUUUACUGGGUGUAAAGGGCGAGUAGACGGCGCUGUAAGUCAGCUGUGAAAACUUAGGGCUCAACCUUAAGCCUGCAGCUGAAACUGUAGUGCUAGAGUGCAGGAGAGGUAAGCGGAAUUCCUAGUGUAGCGGUGAAAUGCGUAGAUAUUAGGAGGAACACCAGUGGCGAAGGCGGCUUACUGGACUGUAACUGACGUUGAGGCGCGAAAGUGUGGGGAGCAAACAGGAUUAGAUACCCUGGUAGUCCACACCGUAAACGAUGGAUACUAGGUGUAGGCGAGAUAUCGUCUGUGCCGGCGCAAACGCAAUAAGUAUCCCACCUGGGGAGUA
rnacentral:rRNA from 1 species